rnacentral:siRNA from 1 species
GAGCCCGUGUUUAUUCUGAGAUU